GCCUAACACAUGCAAGUCGAAGGAGAAGGGUAGUGCUUGCACUACCUGGAGACUGGCGCACGGGUGAGUAACGCGUAGAUAAUCUGCCUAUAGCAGGAGGGUAACCAUUGGAAACGAUGGCUAAUACUCCAUGAUGCAGCGGGGUCGCAUGACCACAGUUGUUAAAGGCCUUCGGGUUGGCUAUAGAUGAGUCUGCGUGCCAUUAGUUAGUUGGUAGGGUAAUGGCCUACCAAGGCGAUGAUGGCUAGGGGGUCUGAGAGGAUGAUCCCCCACACUGGGACUGAGACACGGCCCAGACUCCUACGGGAGGCAGCAGUGAGGAAUCUUGCGCAAUGGGGGAAACCCUGACGCAGCCACGCCGCGUGCCGGAAGACGGCCCUAUGGGUUGUAAACGGCUUUUGUUUGGGAAGAAAGUGCAGGUUUCGACCAGCAUUGACGGUACCAUUUGAAUCAGCACCGGCUAACUCCGUGCCAGCAGCCGCGGUAAUACGGAGGGUGCAAGCGUUGUCCGGAAUCAUUGGGUGUAAAGGGUGCGUAGGCUGACUUUUAAGUCAGGGGUGAAAUCUUGCCGCUUAACGGUAAAAUGGCCUUUGAUACUGGGAGUCUUGAAUCUGACAGAGGUCGGUGGAAUUCGUAGUGUAGCGGUGAAAUGCAUAGAUAUUACGAAGAACACCAGUGGCGAAGGCGGCCGGCUGGGUCAGUAUUGACGCUGAGGCACGAGAGCGUGGGGAGCGAACAGGAUUAGAUACCCUGGUAGUCCACGCUGUAAACGAUGUAUGCUAGUUGUUGGGCUUUUGGGCUCAGUGACGCAGUUAACGCAGUAAGCAUACCACCUGGGGAGUACGUUACUCGCAAGAAUGAAAUCUCAAAGGAAUAAGCGGGGUUCUACACAAGCGGUGGAGCAUAUGUCUUUCAUUAGAUACAACGCGAAGAACCUUACCCGGGCUAAAUAUCCGAAGACCGGUCCAGAAACGGACCUUCCCUUCGGGGCGCCGGCGAAGGUGCUGCAUGGCUGUCGUCAGCUCGUGCCGUGAGGUGUUGCCUUAAGUGGCGCAACGAGCGCAACCCCUGUGGUUAGUUACCAGCACGUAAUGGUGGGGACUCUAGCCAGACUGCCUACGCAAGUAGUGAGGAAGGUGGGGACGACGUCAAGUCAUCAUGGCCCUUAUGUCCGGGGCUGCACACGUGCUACAAUGGAUGGUACAGAGGGAAGCCACCCCGCGAGGGGGUGCAGAUCUCGAAAGCCAUUCCCAGUUCGGAUUGGAGUCUGCAACUCGACUCCAUGAAGGUGGAAUCGCUAGUAAUCGCGUAUCAGCAAUGACGCGGUGAAUACGUUCCCGGGCCUUGUACACACCGCCCGUCAAGCGAUGGAAGUCAGGAGUACCUGAUGUCGCCACAGCAAGUGGUGCCUAGGGUAAGCUUGGCAACUGGCGCUAAGUCGUAACAAGG
rnacentral:rRNA from 1 species